CCUUCGGCGGCCGAACCUCCCCUCCAGAGCCGAAAGUCCAAAAAGCUCGGGGGCAAGCUUGGGCAGCCGAAGCUACCUCCUCAUGGGUUCGGCGGCCGAAUGUACCUUCGGCUGCCGAACCUGAGUUCAUCAGCAAGGCAGAACCUUGCUCUGCCUCUCGCCAAAAUGCACCAAACUCUCCCAAACUCAACCACCUCACUUCCUUAACAUGCAUACACCUAAGCAUAUGCUCAAAGGGGUCAAAACCUAUCUAAAAACCCCAACAACACAAAACAUAAAACACAUAUACAAG
rnacentral:lncRNA from 1 species